AAUUAGCAUACCAAUGAAUUUAAAGAUUCUUUAAAGAGUCUUAUUUUGUGAUGAAAAUUUAAUAUAAAUCUCAGACGAUAGAUAAAUUAAAAACUCUAUCCUUUUUUUU
rnacentral:sRNA from 22 species